rnacentral:rRNA from 1 species
GACGAACGCUGGCGGCGUGCUUAACACAUGCAAGUCGAACGGAAAGGCCCUGCUUUUGUGGGGUGCUCGAGUGGCGAACGGGUGAGUAACACGUGAGUAACCUGCCCUUGACUUUGGGAUAACUUCAGGAAACUGGGGCUACUACCGGAUAGGAGCUCCUGCUGCAUGGUGGGGGUUGGAAAGUUUCGGCGGUUGGGGAUGGACUCGCGGCUUAUCAGCUUGUUGGUGGGGUAGUGGCUUACCAAGGCUUUGACGGGUAGCCGGCCUGAGAGGGUGACCGGCCACAUUGGGACUGAGGGACGGCCCAGACUGCUACGGUAGGCAGCAGUGGGGAAUAUUGCACAAUGGGCGGAAGCCUGAUGCAGCAACGCCGCGUGCGGGAUGACGGCCUUCGGGUUGUAAACCGCUUUGGCCUGUGACGAAGCGUGAGUGACGGUAAUGGGUAAAGAAGCACCGGCUAACUACGUG